rnacentral:rRNA from 1 species
CAGCCGCCGCGGGAAUACGAAGGGGGCUAGCGUUGUUCGGAAUUACUGGGCGUAAAGGGCGCGUAGGCGGCCAUUCAAGUUAGAUGUGAAAUCCCCGGGCUUAACCUGGGAACUGCAUUUGUGACUGGCGAGCUAGAGUAUGGCAGAGGGGGGUAGAAUUCCACGUGUAGCAGUGAAAUGCGUAGAGAUGUGGAGGAAUACCGACGGCGAAGGCAGCCCCCUGGGCCAAUACUGACGCUCAUGCACGAAAGCGUGGGGAGCAAACAGGAUUAGAUACCCGCGUAGUCCCUGUCUCUUAUAC